rnacentral:rRNA from 1 species
UACGUAGGGUGCAAGCGUUGUCCGGAAUUAUUGGGCGUAAAGAGCUCGUAGGCGGUUUGUCGCGUCUGCUGUGAAAACCCGAGGCUCAACCUCGGGCCUGCAGUGGGUACGGGCAGACUAGAGUGCGGUAGGGGAGAAUGGAAUUCCUGGUGUAGCGGUGGAAUGCGCAGAUAUCAGGAGGAACACCGGUGGCGAAGGCGGGUCUCUGGGCCGUAACUGACGCUGAGGAGCGAAAGCGUGGGGAGCGAACAGG